GCCAAGCACGGUGAUGCAUGCCUGUAAUCCCAGUGGCUUGGGAGGCUGAGGCAGGAGAAUCGCAAGUUCAAAGCCAGCCUCAGCAAAAGUGAGGUGCUAAGCGACUCAGUGAGACCCUGUCUCUA
rnacentral:sRNA from 1 species